rnacentral:tRNA from 1 species
GUGUGGUUCAGUGGUAGAAUACUGGUCUGGCACACUGGAUACUCUAGGUUCCAUCCCCAGCAC